GCAGUCGAACGCGUCUCCGUUGAUGAUUUCAGGUGCUUGCACCUGAAAGAUUUAACAUUGAGACGAGUGGCGAACUGGUGAGUAACACGUGGGUAACCUGCCCUUGAAGUAGGGGAUAACACUUGGAAACAGGUGCUAAUACCGUAUAACAACCAAAACCACCUGGUUUUGGUUUAAAAGACGGCUUCGGCUGUCACUUUAGGAUGGACCCGCGGCGUAUUAGCUUGUUGGUAAGGUAACGGCUUACCAAGGCGAUGAUACGUAGCCGACCUGAGAGGGUAAUCGGCCACAUUGGGACUGAGACACGGCCCAAACUCCUACGGGAGGCAGCAGUAGGGAAUCUUCCACAAUGGACGAAAGUCUGAUGGAGCAACGCCGCGUGAGUGAUGAAGGGUUUCGGCUCGUAAAACUCUGUUGUUGGAGAAGAACAGGUGUCAGAGUAACUGUUGACAUCUUGACGGUAUCCAACCAGAAAGCCACGGCUAACUACGUGCCAGCAGCCGCGGUAAUACGUAGGUGGCAAGCGUUGUCCGGAUUUAUUGGGCGUAAAGCGAGCGCAGGCGGUUUUUUAGGUCUGAUGUGAAAGCCUUCGGCUUAACCGGAGAAGUGCAUCGGAAACCGGGAGACUUGAGUGCAGAAGAGGACAGUGGAACUCCAUGUGUAGCGGUGAAAUGCGUAGAUAUAUGGAAGAACACCAGUGGCGAAAGCGGCUGUCUGGUCUGUAACUGACGCUGAGGCUCGAAAGCAUGGGUAGCGAACAGGAUUAGAUACCCUGGUAGUCCAUGCCGUA
rnacentral:rRNA from 2 species